GUAGGGGGCGAGCGUUGUCCGGAUUUAUUGGGCGUAAAGAGCUCGUAGGCGGCUUGGCGAGUCGGCCGUGAAAGUCCGAGGCUCAACCUCGGAACGCCGGUCGAAACUGCCAUGGCUAGGGUCCGGUAGAGGAGAGUGGAAUUCCCGGUGUAGCGGUGAAAUGCGCAGAUAUCGGGAGGAACACCAGUAGCGAAGGCGGCUCUCUGGGCCGGUACCGACGCUGAGGAGCGAAAGCGUGGGGAGCAAACAGGAUUAGAUACCCUGGUAGUCCACGCCGUAAACGUUGGGCACUAGGUGUGGCGAGUUAUACCCAACGCUUGCUGUGCCGUAGCUAACGCAUUAAGUGCCCCGCCUGGGGAGUACGGUCGCAAGGCUA
rnacentral:rRNA from 1 species